rnacentral:ncRNA from 1 species
GAUGAUAGAGGUGCAGAGUCCAUGAGUAAGCCUGCGGAGACGCUCAACCAUCUGUGAAGCAGGGAGAAAGGGGCCUUUGCCGAAAUGGAACACUGGAUUGAGAGGCGUUCUGUUGGCCGGCAGGAGAAGAUGCUGUCGGCUGUCACAUUCCGUGGAGCGCUAUCG